rnacentral:rRNA from 1 species
UGGGGAAUUUUGCACAAUGGGGGAAACCCUGAUGCAGCGACGCCGCGUGAUUUAGAAGGCCUUCGGGUUGUAAAAAUCUUUUGUAUGGGAAGAAAAUGACAGUACCAUACGAAUAAGGACCGGCUAAUUACGUGCCAGCAGCCGCGGUAAUACGUAAGGUCCGAGCGUUGUCCGGAAUCAUUGGGCGUAAAGGGUACGUAGGCGGAUAAGCAAGUUAGAAGUGAAAUCCUAUAGCUCAACUAUAGUAAGCUUUUAAAACUGCUCAUCUUGAGGUAUGGAAGGGAAAGUGGAAUUCCUAGUGUAGCGGUGAAAUGCGCAGAUAUUAGGAAGAAUACCGGUGGCGAAGGCGACUUUCUGGCCAUAUACUGACGCUGAGGUACGAAAGCGUGGGUAGCAAACAGG